rnacentral:rRNA from 1 species
UACGAGGGGGGCAAGCGUUGUUCGGAAUUAUUGGGCGUAAAGGGCGCGUAGGCGGUCGGAUAAGUCUUGUGUGAAAUCUUCGGGCUCAACUCGAAGUCUGCACAGGAAACUAUCUGGCUUGAGUGUGGGAGAGGUGAGUGGAAUUCCUGGUGUAGCGGUGAAAUGCGUAGAUAUCAGGAGGAACACCUGUGGCGAAAGCGGCUCACUGGACCACAACUGACGCUGAGGCGCGAAAGCUAGGGGAGCAAACAGG